rnacentral:rRNA from 1 species
UACGUAGGGUGCGAGCGUUGUCCGGAAUUACUGGGCGUAAAGAGCUCGUAGGUGGUUUGUCGCGUCUGCUGUGAAAAUCCGGGGCUCAACCCCGGACUUGCAGUGGGUACGGGCAGACUAGAGUGUGGUAGGGGAGACUGGAAUUCCUGGUGUAGCGGUGAAAUGCGCAGAUAUCAGGAGGAACACCGAUGGCGAAGGCAGGUCUCUGGGCCACUACUGACGCUGAGAAGCGAAAGCAUGGGGAGCGAACAGGAUUAGAUA